rnacentral:snoRNA from 1 species
GGUUAUGAUGAUUCCAGGUGACUCUGAGCGUGUCGCUGACGCCAUCACCGCAGCGCACUGACC